GAUGAACGCUGGCGGCGUGCCUAACACAUGCAAGUCGAACGGAGUCCAGCCUUUAAGACCUUCGGGUCAAAGAGGGGAAGACUGAGUGGCGGACGGGUGAGUAACACGUGGGCAACCUGGCUCAUAGAGGGGGAUAACAGAGAGAAAUUUCUGCUAAUACCGCAUAAGCACACACUGCCGCAUGGCAGAGGGUGAAAAGAGAAUCGCUAUGAGAUGGACCCGCGUCUGAUUAGCCGGUUGGCAGGGUAAGAGCCCACCAAAGCGACGAUCAGUAGCCGAUCUGAGAGGCUGCCCGGCCACAUUGGGGCUGAGACACAGCCCCCACUCCUACGGGAGGCAGCAGUGGGGGAUAUUGCACAAUGGGGGGAACCCUGAUGCAGCGGCGCCGCGUGAGUGAAGAAGUAUUUCGGUAUGUAAAGCUCUAUCAGCAGGGAAGAUAAUGACAGUACCUGAAUAAGAAGCCCCGGCUAACUACGUG
rnacentral:rRNA from 1 species